GUGCAGGCAGUUAUCCAUUUCCAACCUGCCUGUGGCUUCAGUCUGCUACAUUAUUGGGGGUGUGAGUCUUUCGAGCAUGAGCAUUCGGUCAUGUUGGUUCCUUACAUUUUCCACAUCU
rnacentral:snoRNA from 1 species